rnacentral:rRNA from 1 species
UGCCAGCAGCCGCGGUAAUACGAAGGGUGCUAGCGUUGUUCGGAAUUACUGGGCGUAAAGAGCAUGUAGGCGGAUGAAUUAGUCAGAGGUGAAAGCCCCGAGCUCAACUUGGGAACUGCCUUUGAUACUGUUUAUCUAGAGUCCGAGAGAGGUUAGUGGAAUUCCCAGUGUAGAGGUGAAAUUCGUAGAUAUUGGGAAGAACACCAGAGGCGAAGGCGGCUUACCAUUCCAAUACUGACGCUGAGGCACGAAGGCUAGGGGAGCGAACAGGAUUAGAUA